rnacentral:rRNA from 1 species
CUACACAUGCAGUCGAGCGGUAACAGGGGAAGCUUGCUUCUCGCUGACGAGCGGCGGACGGGUGAGUAAUGUAUGGGGAUCUGCCCGAUAGAGGGGGAUAACUACUGGAAACGGUAGCUAAUACCGCAUAAUCUCUCAGGAGCAAAGCAGGGGAACUUCGGUCCUUGCGCUAUCGGAUGAACCCAUAUGGGAUUAGCUAGUAGGUGAGGUAAUGGCUCACCUAGGCGACGAUCCCUAGCUGGUCUGAGAGGAUGAUCAGCCACACUGGGACUGAGACACGGCCCACACUCCUACGGGAGGCAGCAGUGGGGAAUAUUGCACAAUGGGCGCAAGCCUGAUGCAGCCAUGCCGCGUGUAUGAAGAAGGCCCUAGGGUUGUAAAGUACUUUCAGUCGGGAGGAAGGCGUUGAUGCUAAUAUCAUCAACGAUUGACGUUACCGACAGAAGAAGCACCGGCUAACUCCGUGCCAGCAGCCGCGGUAAUACGGAGGGUGCAAGCGUUAAUCGGAAUUACUGGGCGUAAAGCGCACGCAGGCGGUUGAUUAAGUUAGAUGUGAAAUCCCCGGGCUUAACCUGGGAAUGGCAUCUAAGACUGGUCAGCUAGAGUCUUGUAUAGGGGGGUAUAAUUCCAUGUGUAGCGGUGAAAUGCGUAGAGAUGUGGAGGAAUACCGGUGGCGAAGGCGGCCCCCUGGACAAAGAC